rnacentral:misc_RNA from 1 species
GAAGGAUCCCAGUUUGAUUCUCGCCAAUAUGAUGCUAAAAUGAAUGAGAUUCUUUCGGCAGAAGGCCAGGAAUUCUUUACCUCAUAUGAUGAAGUAUAUGAAAGUUUUGAUUCGAUGGGGCUGCAAGAAAAUCUCCUUAGAGGCAUUUAUGCCUAUGGUUUUGAGAAACCAUCUGCAAUUCAGCAAAGAGGUAUUGUUCCCUUCUGCAAAGGCCUUGAUGUGAUUCAGCAGGCUCAGUCUGGAACUGGGA